rnacentral:rRNA from 1 species
UACGUAGGGGGCAAGCGUUAUCCGGAUUUACUGGGUGUAAAGGGAGCGUAGACGGCGAUGCAAGUCUGAAGUGAAAGGCGGGGGCCCAACCCCCGGACUGCUUUGGAAACUGUAUAGCUGGAGUGCAGGAGAGGUAAGUGGAAUUCCUAGUGUAGCGGUGAAAUGCGUAGAUAUUAGGAGGGACACCAGUGGCGAAGGCGGCUUACUGGACUGUAACUGACGUUGAGGCUCGAAAGCGUGGGGAGCAAACAGG